GACGAACGCUGGCGGCGUGCUUAACACAUGCAAGUCGAACGGAAAGGCCCUGCUUUUGUGGGGUGCUCGAGUGGCGAACGGGUGAGUAACACGUGAGUAACCUGCCUUUGAUUUUGGGAUAACUUCAGGAAACUGGGGCUAAUACCGGAUAGGAGCUCCUGCUGCAUGGUGGGGGUUGGAAAGUUUCGGCGGUUGGGGAUGGACUCGCGGCUUAUCAGCUUGUUGGUGGGGUAGUGGCUUACCAAGGCUUUGACGGGUAGCCGGCCUGAGAGGGUGACCGGCCACAUUGGGACUGAGAUACGGCCCAGACUCCUACGGGAGGCAGCAGUGGGGAAUAUUGCACAAUGGGCGGAAGCCUGAUGCAGCAACGCCGCGUGCGGGAUGACGGCCUUCGGGUUGUAAACCGCUUUCGCCUGUGACGAAGCGUGAGUGACGGUAAUGGGUAAAGAAGCACCGGCUAACUACGUG
rnacentral:rRNA from 1 species